UACAGAGGGGGCAAGCGUUAUUCGGAAUUACUGGGCGUAAAGGGCGCGUAGGCGGCCUGCUAAGUCGAACGUGAAAUCCCUGGGCUCAACCCAGGAACUGCGUCCGAUACUGGUUGGCUUGAAUCCGGGAGAGGGAUGUGGAAUUCCUGGUGUAGCGGUGAAAUGCGCAGAUAUCAGGAGGAACACCGGUGGCGAAGGCGGGUCUCUGGGCCGAUACUGACGCCGAGGAGCGAAAGCGUGGGGAGCGAACAGG
rnacentral:rRNA from 1 species